CCAGUUCUUGGAAACCACCUUUCAGCAAUCUUUCAACGGGAGGGCCCGCAUGGACUCAGGCAGCACAGCCUUCCAAUGCCAAAGACCAGGCCGUAGGGACCUAGUGGGAGAAUGGAAGGACACCGAUAUCUUUGGCAGCAAAGUGCUUGUCUAAGUGGAAAUGGCCUUUGGUGCCUGUUAGCCUGAGGUUGGCCAGGCACCUCUGUCCCUGGAGGGCGAUAUUGCAGAGUAAGCUGCAAGCCCUGGCUGGAGGACUCCGACAGGUGACAGGAUGUAAG
rnacentral:lncRNA from 1 species